rnacentral:lncRNA from 1 species
AUGGACAGUUUCAAUGCCAAGAAAGAUAGAGCGAAGAAAAUGAAGAAAGACAAAGUCCACAGCAAAGCGCGCAAGAAGAAGGGAAGUGCAAAUGAAGUCAGCAAGAGCAGACCCAAUGAUACAGUUACAAAUACUAACAGGAGCACUAAAGUAGCAGAAGAAGAAGAAUCUAACUCUUCAGGUUCAGACAGUGAAGAAAAUGAAUCACAAAAAUACGCUCGAUCGAAAAUUGUUUCAAAUCAAUCGUAUUAUGAUAAAAGUUUACCAGAUGUUGAUCCAGAGCCUUGCGCAGCUAGUUUAGAAGAAUUGGCAGCAGCUGAUGAUGUGACAGGUGGCAUUUUCCAGUUUAAAGGGGAAGCUGAUUGGGCAUCCUGCCCGGAAAAUAUCAAUAAUCAAUAUUUUCACAUCGACCUAAAGCAACUUGCCUCGAAUCUUUCAGCCGUGCCUUUUUAUGAUCGUGUCAAUCUUUUUCAUGAUUUUUUUACGUCUGAUGAGAAACAAGAGAUGGACCUCAAGGCCGAACAACAGUUCAAACUCCACUCUCAGAAUCUUGGUUCAACAAAAAAUAUGAAAGAUUUGGAUCAACUGCUGUCCAGUGUCAAAAAGCAACAAAGUAAAGCAGUUGAAUCUCCAAAAACUGUUUCAGAGCCAGACUAUGACAAUGUUUCAGCUCUCACUGCCCAGUUCAAAAACGUCCGUUCUGAUUUAACUGAUCUUCUAUUCUCCAGUGAGGCUCAGUCAGUCUCAACACCCAAUCCAUCUGAAAAACCUCAGAUUCCAAAAGAAGAAACUAACUUAUCUGCCCAAGAAGAAACAGAGGAUCUCAAUGAAUGGCUGGACUCCAUUCUUGAUGAUUGAGGAAAUCUUCAUGCCUUUGAAGGGGGCCUCUCCCAAGUAUCAUCGUAACUCCUCAGUUGAUGCGGGACCAACUUUCUGAGUAUUGUGUGGCGAGAUUCAAUAAGAAGCUACUUUAACGCCAACAAAUUAUUAAUGCAGUAGCAGCUUGAGACAUGAAAGAAAGGUUAAAAUUGUUUUGCCAUGUACUUAUAAUUGAAUAACUGCUGAUUCAGGCUGUUCUUCAUUAUUUCUGCCAUUGACCAAAUUUUUUCGGAAAGAAAUUUGAAUUUUUUCUCUCUUUUGUGUCUUGCCAGUUAUAAAGACAACAGUAAGCCAGUUGUCUGAUUGUUAAAAUUUAUGCCAGUGCAUCAAGACGUCAAAAAUUGAUUUAUAACAUGACACAGGUAGUGGCAGGCAACCCAAUGAGGUUUUUAAAAAGCCUCCUUCUUUAAUUCAUUGCCAUGAAAUUCAUGAAAUAUCUUUUAAUAAUUACUUAGUUCAGAUUCCUAUUAUGUACCAAGAUGCAUAAAUUGUAAAAAAAGGUAUCGUUUUAUCCUAAGGACUCUUAAUUUGGAGAAAAGUAGCAAUUUAUUUGGUGACCCAUGGCUAAUUGGGCAAAUUUUAUACGAAGCAUGAAUAUUUUUAGAAUGGGGACUUUUCAUAAGCGGAAAGUAUCUCAUGUAAAUUACUUUUACAAAGAGACAAUGUAAAAAUUGGCUGAGAUUGCUGCAACUGUGCCGAUAUACUUUAUUCUACGACUGUGAUGAUUAUUUAUUAAAUUUCAAGUGGAAAAUAAUAAAAAUAUUUAUUUUUUAUUUGCGUUUAUUUUUAUAUCACCCUCUUUAAACCAUCCAGGAAACUUUGCAACAACGUAAACUUGAAGGAACUUUCCAAGAGGUCAUCAAACGAUCAAUGAUUCAAUGGAGGUUACCAAAUUUGAUUGACAUAACAGCAUUGUUCAAGUUUUAAGCAAAGUAGAUUGAUGAUUUAGAGGUUUGCUGAAGUGAUGGUGCUCAUUCCUCAUACAGGGUGUAUGUAAAGUCGUCAACUCCAACAACUUUAGAAUGCAUGCAAAACGAAAUUUUGAGGGUGUCCCUACAUCAAUAAGAGUUGCUUUUCGGCACACCAUUAAUUUUAAUGGGGCGUCCCCUUUUAGCAUCAUGCUAAAAAUAGAUUUAUGAACAAUGUGAUGAGGAAAUAAAAUACUUCAAAGUUGGCAAAUCCAUUACAAAAUAAUUUAUUAAACAAAGUACUUAAAAAUUAACAGGUUGAAAAAAUGAAAAAAAUAUUUAAACUUUAUGUUCGAAUGAAUUCUUACAUGAAUGAAGAGGCCGAAUGAAGAUUAUGAUUUAGAGGUCGAGCUUGAAGAUGGUUCAUCUUUUAUCAGUGGUUUGACUUCGCUCAAAGCCU